GAACGCUGGCGGCGUGCCUAACACAUGCAAGUCGAGCGGUAACAGGUGUAGCAAUACAUGCUGACGAGCGGCGGACGGGUGAGUAACGCUUGGGAAUCUGCCUGAUAGUGGGGGACAACCCGGGGAAACUCGGGCUAAUACCGCAUACGCACUACGGUGGAAAGCCGGGGACCGCAAGGCCUGGCGCUAACAGAUGAGCCCAAGUCGGAUUAGCUAGUUGGUAGGGUAACGGCCUACCAAGGCGACGAUCCGUAACUGGUCUGAGAGGACGACCAGUCACACCGGAACUGAGACACGGUCCGGACUCCUACGGGAGGCAGCAGUGGGGAAUAUUGGACAAUGGGCGAAAGCCUGAUCCAGCGACGCCGCGUGGGUGAAGAAGGCCUGCGGGUUGUAAAGCCCUUUCGGUGGGGAAGAAAAGCCUCGGGCUAAUACCUCGGGGUCUUGACGUAACCCAUAGAAGAAGCACCGGCUAACUCUGUGCCAGCAGCCGCGGUAAUACAGAGGGUGCGAGCGUUAAUCGGAAUUACUGGGCGUAAAGCGCGCGUAGGCGGCUUUGCAAGUCGGGUGUGAAAUCCCCAGGCUUAACCUGGGAACUGCAUUCGAGACUGCAUUGCUAGAGUAUGGGAGAGGGAAGUGGAAUUUCCGGUGUAGCGGUGAAAUGCGUAGAUAUCGGAAGGAACAUCAGUGGCGAAAGCGACUUCCUGGACCAAUACUGACGCUCAUGUGCGAAAGCGUGGGGAGCAAACAGGAUUAGAUACCCUGGUAGUCCACGCCAUAAACGAUGAGAACUGGAUGUCGGGAGGGUCUGCCUCUCGGUGUCGUAGCUAACGCGUUAAGUUCUCCGCCUGGGGAGUACGGCCGCAAGGUUGAAACUCAAAUGAAUUGACGGGG
rnacentral:rRNA from 1 species